rnacentral:rRNA from 1 species
GGUUUGGCAGUGAGUGAUUCUUUUUAGGGGAAGGUGUGGUGUAAAGGAUGUUCCGCCUAUUAUUUUACUUUUAUUAUGUUGGUGUAUAUCUGAUUUAAUAUUAUUGCUUAAUGGUUUAAGUUUGUGUAUAUUUAUUUAAGUCAAGUCUAUGUGCUGCUUAUAAAAGUAUUCAUGCGUUACUUUAAUAAUAUGUUGGUUGAAAUAUUAAUUAAUUUAGGACUUAAUAGUAAUAUUUAAUUAAUUUGU